rnacentral:lncRNA from 1 species
UACGUCAGAGCUGUCUGUGUUUCAGGACUAAAGACGGCGGUGUGGUCAAACUCUGGGACCAGGAAAUGAAGCGCUGCCGAGCGUUUUCACUGGAGACGGGAAAAACUACCGACACUGUUCGCUCUGUGUGCAGAAGCAAUGGGAAGAUCGUGGUCGGGACGAAGGACGGCGACAUGUGGAACUGGGAGAAAAGAAUGCGGCGUCGAACCUGAUUCUGAAUGGACUCUCUGCGGCGCCCCCUGUGUCUGUGGGAGUGCUCCCUUCGGUGGCUGUGGGUGGGACUGCAGCCUCCACAGGAACAGCGCCCCCUGUGGUGAUGGGCGGGACGGCAGCGGUGGGCGGAGUCUGGGGACUGGCAACUCACCCAAUCAAAGAGCUGCUGGUUUCCACGGGAACCGACGCCACUGUGCGACUCUGGGACCUCACAGACAAGGUCUCUGUUUGAUAUGGAAAAUAUUGUGGAU